CACGACCGGUCGGACGCCAUCAGUGUGUUCGGCCCACAAGUGGAGGCUCCGAACUCCCACCCGACCGCCCUCCGGGACGGCGGGUCAUCCGGUCAGGCGGCCGCCAUCGUUCCGUACGGACGAUGGAGUCGCCCGAUUGUGCGCCCCGCGUUCACCGCGUCGGUGCUCCGGUGACAAGGAGCCCCGCCUGUGAUCGUCCGGGGCAUUUUUU
rnacentral:ncRNA from 1 species